rnacentral:tRNA from 2 species
GAUCUUAUAGUUUAGAAAAUGUUAAAUUGCAAGUUUAAAGAUGAUUUAUGAUCUAAGAUUU